rnacentral:rRNA from 1 species
GAUGAACGCUGGCGGCGUGCCUAAUACAUGCAAGUCGAGCGAACGGACGAGAAGCUUGCUUCUCUGCUGUUAGCGGCGGACGGGUGAGUAACACGUGGAUAACCUACCUAUAAGACUGGGAUAACUUCGGGAAACCGGAGCUACUACCGGAUAAUAUUUUGAACCGCAUGGUUCAAAAGUGAAAGACGGUCUUGCUGUCACUUAUAGCUGGAUCCGCGCUGCAUUAGCUAGUUGGUAAGGUAACGGCUUACCAAGGCAACGAUGCAUAGCCGACCUGAGAGGGUGAUCAGCCACACUGGAACUGAGACACGGUCCAGACUCCUACGGGAGGCAGCAGUAGGGAAUCUUCCGCAAUGGGCGCAAGCCUGACCGAGCAAUGCCGCGUGAGUGAUGAAGGCCUUCGGAUCGUAAAGCUCUGUUAUUAGGGAAGAACAGAUGUGUAAGUAACUGCGCACAUCUUGACGGUACCUAAUGAGAAAGCACCGGCUAACUUCGUG